rnacentral:rRNA from 1 species
AAAUAGAACUUUGCAGAGAGAGUUAACAGGGCGUGAAACCGUUAAUUGGCAAACGAAUCGGAGCCACGAAGUCGUUUCGUUGUUUAGUCUGGACCAGGUUCAGCGGGUGGUCGCGAGGCCCCCGUGUACUCCUGGGUCUGGCCAAACCUUGUAAGCGUACACUGCAACCAGUUAGACGAUCAGUAGUGGGUCAAGUGUCGUCCAGACUAGUAGUAGCGCGGCCGUGUUUCGGCACGGUUUGUGCUGCUGGGUUUGCGGCGGGUGAACUACAACUGAAUACUGACUGGCGAAAUGAAAAUCGCUUCCCUCGGGAGCGUUAGAGACAAAGCUGCUGGCCGCAUGCGAGCCUACACGCUCGACUGUUGGGUCUAAGCUUGGCGUUUUCGAAUUCAGACUUGCUUGCUACCAGUGGGGCAACUCCUGGUGCUUGUAUAGCUUCUGUCUAAUCAGGCGUCGACUUGGCCUAGCAUCGUUCGGGUGUGCUGCGAUGGGGUUUGUAUGCGAGCUAGUAAGCAAUGUGAAUUGGCAGUGAGUAGGUCGGCUUUCCGAACGACCCGUCUUGAAACACGGACCAAGGAGUCUAAUUAGGCAUCGAGUCGAUCGGUCUUGAAUAGGCCAGACAGAGCGUUUUCGCUCGAUCGAAGGCGUAGAGACAAUCGUGUGAUCAACUGGCAAAACAGCCUGGGUGCGCAACAUGUGCCUGUUCGUGUGGCAAUGUAGCAAUAUUGCCGAGCGGAGCAGAGAGAUGCCUGAUUGGGACCCGAAAGAUGGUGAGCUUGGGCAAAUUGAAGCCAGAGGAAACUCUGGUGGAGGAUUGUAGCGAUUCUGACGUGCAAAUCGAUCGUCAGACCUGAGUAUAGGGGCGAAAGACUAAUCGAACCAUC